rnacentral:rRNA from 1 species
CACUAUCGUUAACUGAAUACAUAGGUUAACGAGGCGAACCGGGGGAACUGAAACAUCUAAGUACCCCGAGGAAAAGAAAUCAACCGAGAUUCCCCCAGUAGCGGCGAGCGAACGGGGAGCAGCCCAGAGUCUGAAUCAGCUUGUGUGUUAGUGGAAGCGUCUGGAAAGUCGCACGGUACAGGGUGAAAGUCCCGUACACGAAAAUGCACAGGCUGUGAACUCGAAGAGUAGGGCGGGACACGUGGUAUCCUGUCUGAAUAUGGGGGGACCAUCCUCCAAGGCUAAAUACUCCUGACUGACCGAUAGUGAACCAGUACCGUGAGGGAAAGGCGAAAAGAACCCCGGCGAGGGGAGUGAAAAAGAACCUGAAACCGUGUACGUACAAGCAGUGGGAGCACCUUCGUGGUGUGACUGCGUACCUUUUGUAUAAUGGGUCAGCGACUUAUAUUCUGUAGCAAGGUUAACCGUAUAGGGGAGCCGAAGGGAAACCGAGUCUUAACUGGGCGUUAAGUUGCAGGGUAUAGACCCGAAACCCGGUGAUCUAGCCAUGGGCAGGUUGAAGGUUGGGUAACACUAACUGGAGGACCGAACCGACUAAUGUUGAAAAAUUAGCGGAUGACCUGUGGCUGGGGGUGAAAGGCCAAUCAAACCGGGAGAUAGCUGGUUCUCCCCGAAAGCUAUUUAGGUAGCGCCUCGUGAACUCAUCUUCGGGGGUAGAGCACUGUUUCGGCUAGGGGGCCAUCCCGGCUUACCAACCCGAUGCAAACUACGAAUACCGAAGAAUGUUAUCACGGGAGACACACGGCGGGUGCUAACGUCCGUCGUGAAGAGGGAAACAACCCAGACCGCCAGCUAAGGUCCCAAAGUCAUGGUUAAGUGGGAAACGAUGUGGGAAGGCCCAGACAGCCAGGAUGUUGGCUUAGAAGCAGCCAUCAUUUAAAGAAAGCGUAAUAGCUCACUGGUCGAGUCGGCCUGCGCGGAAGAUGUAACGGGGCUAAACCAUGCACCGAAGCUGCGGCAGCGAC